AUAACGACUCUCGGCAACGGAUAUCUCGGCUCUCGCAUCGAUGAAGAACGUAGCGAAAUGCGAUACUUGGUGUGAAUUGCAGAAUCCCGUGAACCAUCGAGUCUUUGAACGCAAGUUGCGCCCUAAGCCUUCUGGCCGAGGGCACGUCYGCCUGGG
rnacentral:rRNA from 1 species